rnacentral:rRNA from 1 species
UGGGGAAUUUUGGACAAUGGGGGCAACCCUGAUCCAGCCAUGCCGCGUGUGCGAAGAAGGCCUUCGGGUUGUAAAGCACUUUUGGCAGGAAAGAAACGGCGCCGGCUAAUAUCUGGCGUAACUGACGGUACCUGCAGAAUAAGCACCGGCUAACUACGUGCCAGCAGCCGCGGUAAUACGUAGGGUGCAAGCGUUAAUCGGAAUUACUGGGCGUAAAGCGUGCGCAGGCGGUUCGGAAAGAAAGAUGUGAAAUCCCAGGGCUCAACCUUGGAACUGCAUUUUUAACUCCCGAACUAGAGUGUGUCAGAGGGGGGUGGAAUUCCACGUGUAGCAGUGAAAUGCGUAGAUAUGUGGAGGAACACCGAUGGCGAAGGCAGCCCCCUGGGAUAACACUGACGCUCAUGCACGAAAGCGUGGGGAGCAAACAGGAUUAGAUACCCUGGUAGUCCACGCCCUAAACGAUGUCAACUAGCUGUUGGGUUCUUCGGAGCUUGGUAGCGCAGCUAACGCGUGAAGUUGACCGCCUGGGGAGUACGGUCGCAAGAUU